rnacentral:rRNA from 1 species
UACAGAGGUGGCAAGCGUUGUUCGGAAUUACUGGGCGUAAAGGGCGCGUAGGCGGCCAUCUAAGUCAGACGUGAAAUCCCCCGGCUUAACCUGGGAACUGCGUCUGAUACUGGACGGCUUGAGUAUGGGAGAGGGAUGUAGAAUUCCAGGUGUAGCGGUGAAAUGCGUAGAUAUCGGGAGGAACACCUGUGGCGAAAGCGGCUCUCUGGACCACAACUGACGCUGAGGCGCGAAAGCUAGGGGAGCAAACAGG